GCACUUCUGAGGAGUCACACGAUAGGACGAAACGGCCGUCCAGUGC
rnacentral:hammerhead_ribozyme from 1 species